rnacentral:tRNA from 1 species
GCGGCCGUAGCUCAGUUGGUUAGAGCGCCAGAUUGUGAUUCUGGAUGCCGCCGGUUCAAGUCCGGUCGGCCGCCCCA